GCCGGGUAUAGUGGCUUGCACCUGUAAUCCCUGCUACUCAGGAGGCUGAGGCAGGAGAAUUGCUUGAACCCAGGAGGCAGAGGUUGCAGUGAGCCAAGAUUGCACCACUGCACCCCAGCCUGGGUGACAGAGCAAGACUCUGUCUCAA
ensembl:misc_RNA Metazoa_SRP Metazoan signal recognition particle RNA